GGGAAUAUAGCUCAGCAGUAGAGUGCUUGCCUUAUAAUGAAAGACCCUGGGUUCAAACCCCAGUACCA
rnacentral:tRNA from 1 species